rnacentral:rRNA from 1 species
UACGUAGGUGGCAAGCGUUGUCCGGAUUUACUGGGCGUAAAGAGCGCGCAGGCGGUCGUUCAAGUCGCGUGUGAAAGCCCCCGGCUCAACUGGGGAGGGUCACGCGAUACUGAUCGACUGGAAGGCAGGAGAGGGUAGUGGAAUUCCCGGUGUAGUGGUGAAAUGCGUAGAUAUCGGGAGGAACACCAGUGGCGAAGGCGACUACCUGGCCUGUUCUUGACGCUGAGGCGCGAAAGCUAGGGGGCAAACGGGG